rnacentral:rRNA from 1 species
AAACCAGCACCUCAAGUGGUCAGGAGGUUUAUUGGGCCUAAAGCAUCCGUAGCCUGAUCUAUAAGUUUCCGGUUAAAUCCACAUGCUCAACAUUUGGGCUGCCGGAAAAACUGUAGAUCUAGGGAGUGGGAGAGGUAGACGGUACUCGGUAGGAAGGGGUAAAAUCCUUUGAUCUAUUGAUGACCACCAGUGGCGAAGGCGGUCUACCAGAACACGUUCGACGGUGAGGGAUGAAAUCUGGGGGAGCAAACCGGAUUAGAAACCCGAGUAGUCC